rnacentral:rRNA from 1 species
UACGUAGGGGGCAAGCGUUGUCCGGAUUUAUUGGGCGUAAAGAGCGUGUAGGCGGCUUGGUAGGUCCGCUGUGAAAACUCGAGGCUCAACCUCGAGAUGUCGGCGGAAACCACUUAGCUAGAGUCCGGAAGAGGAGAGUGGAAUUCCUGGUGUAGCGGUGAAAUGCGCAGAUAUCAGGAAGAACACCUAUGGCGAAGGCAGCUCUCUGGGACGGUACUGACGCUGAGACGCGAAAGCGUGGGGAGCGAACAGG